rnacentral:rRNA from 1 species
CCUACGGGAGGCAGCAGUAAGGAAUCUUGCGCAAUGGGCGAAAGCCUGACGCAGCGACGCCGCGUGGGCGAUGAAGGCCUUCGGGUUGUAAAGCCCUUUUCUGGGGGACGAGGAAGGACGGUACCCCAGGAAUAAGUCACGGCUAACUACGUGCCAGCAGCCGCGGUAAAACGUAGGUGGCAAGCGUUAUCCGGAAUCACUGGGCGUAAAGGGCGUCUAGGCGGACGGGUAAGUCGUGCGUGAAAGCUUCCGGCUCAACCGGGAGAGGUCGUACGAUACUGCCUGUCUUGAGGGUCGGAGAGGGACGUGGAAUUCCCGGUGUAGCGGUAAAAUGCGUAGAGAUCAGGAGGAACACCGGUGGCGAAGGCGGCUCUCUGGGACAGUACUGACGCUGAGACGCGAAAGCGUGGGGAGCAAACAGGAUUAGAUCCCCUGGUAGU